rnacentral:lncRNA from 1 species
GCCCCGGGGCAGCCUGUGCUGUUCCGUGUGCGCGGCGCAUACGCACCUGGGUUGUCUCGAGCCUGCGGUAGUGGCCAGAUCCCAGACAUCCGAGUAGAUCCCGUGAAAAGCUUCUUCUUGGUUUCUUCGUACAUUCUGGAUCCACCCCUUUCAUGCAUAUUCCAGACCACAUUUCCACUGGAGCAGUUGAAAUGAGAGAGAUGGGAAUGGGACUCACCCGAACCAGAGGAAUUUUUAUUACAGACCCAUUAACAGAGGUGUCAAAGUCACAGGAACAAGGAUGUGCACCUCAGAAACACAGAGAAAGACCUUAAAUGCUCUGGGGGAUACGGACUGAAGAGGUGUUGAGAGGUAACUGCAUACCUCUCACUUCUCAGGAACUGCCAGUUCCCUGGGCAGAAUCAGGACCUGGGACAGACCUGCCUGCUGAUGAGAUGGCCCCACACCAUCUGCAGGCCAGAUUUGGUGCUGUGGACAAUGUCGGAGGGGACAGUCUACAGGACAGCCAACGGCUUUCAAAAAUUCUGAUAUGAUCAACUGGUGACACUACUCAGAAGACUGUGUUAAGAAUUCCGAAUUGGGGCCGGGCAAGGUGGCUCAUGCCUGUAAUCCCAGCACUUUGGGAGGCCAAAGCAGGUGGAUUGCUUGAGCCUAGGAGUUCGAGACCAGCCUGGGCAACAUGGAGAAACCCCAUCUCUAUUAAAAAUAGAAAAAUUA